AGUAACGUAUAAGGCAAAUUGUAUGAAUUUAGUAUUUAAUUUAUACCGGGAGAAAUUUUAUUUAAAAAUAUUUAGGCUAACUCAACACCGUGUACCUUUAACGGGCAGCGUUUUGCUGCGUUCAGGUUACAUAGGAAUUUCUUUAGUGUAGUUUAAGUGUAGAGCUUAUUAGAAAAGACUCGUUUAUGUGUCUGAAACACAAGAAAGAGCUUUUAAAAUCAUAGGAAAAAGCAGAUAUAUUUAAGAUUAUACAAACACAAUUUUAAAAAGUAAUAAUAUGAGGUAGGGAAUAAACCAGCACUCUGUCAUCCGCUAUGUCCCUGAACGCGCCGAGCGGCGGUAACGUGAGCUCCCCCCACCACAGCAGACUGCAUUGAAGCAGCCACUCUCACUCACUCGCUCCUCGCAAUGUUCAGAAGGUGGAAUGACUGCCGGUGUGUGUCACACAGAGACGAGUAAAAAAACAAAACGGAGUAAAGUGUACGAAGACCUGAGAUUGAAUUUGUUUUAGUCGGUGGAUAACUCCGUUUACCGCCUUUCUCCUCGGCGAUUUUAAAAAAAAACAAUCAACAAAACUUCGCUUCUGUCAGCGUUGAGCUCACCGGUGAGCUGCUCACCUCCCGGCCGUUACUUCUAAAACGGGUUGUCCUGGCUUGACUCUCAAAGGUGGAGUUAAAAAAGAAGAAGAAGAAGAAGAAGAAGCAGCGUCGGACACCUGACCUUCACAUAAGUAAGAGACAAGUACCAGUAACCGACAGGAGCCUCUAUACUGAGUGGGAUGUUAGAACUCUGGAGUCAGGAUCAGGACUGACUGUAGGAGCAUGGUGAAACACCAACCCCUCCAGGUCUAUGAGCGACAGCUUUGUUUAUCAUGCAUCACCGGAAUCUAUGGUUGCCGCUGGAAACGCUACCAACGAUCCCACGAUGACACGACCAAGUGGGAGCUGCUGUGGUCCCUCGUCCUCCUGUUGACCUUCUGUCUGCUGCUCGUGUGGUUCUACUUCUGGUGGGAAGCCCAUAAUGACUACAGUGAAUUCAACUGGUUCCUCUACAAUCGCUCCGGGGAGUGGAGUGACGGCACCGUUCCCAUCCUGGCGACCACUGCUGCUGGCUUCACAUAUAUUGCAUUUUUAAUGGUUUUAGCACUUUGCCACAUUGCACUCGGGCAGCAGUUAAAUUUGCACUGGCUUCAUAAGAUUGGAGUGACCGCUGCUUUGUUCACCACCGUCGCUGGAGUGAUAGCCAUCAAUCAAACAUGGGGACAAGAGUGGGACGUCAUCCCCAUCUCACUGCAGGCUACAGGUCCGUUUCUGCACUUCGGGGCUUUAGCCGCUGCGACGGCGCUGUCGUGGAUCGUCGCAGGACAAGUCAUGCGUGCAGAAAAAACAAUAUUCCAGGUGGUCAUCAUGCUGCUGUACCUCAGCGUGCUGCUGGGACUCUACGUCCUCCCCCUCUACAUCACCUCCCCCUGCAUCAUGGAGCCGGCCAACCUCAGCCCCCGUCCUGAUGUCAUCGGUCACCAGGGAGCCCCCAUGGUUGCUCCAGAAAACACACUCUGGUCAUUCCAGCGUGCUCUGCAGAUGAAUGUCACUGGACUGGAGGCUGAUGUUUCCAUCAGUUCUGAUGGAGUUCCUUUCCUGAUCCACGACCGCACGCUGCAGAGAACCACAGACGUGGAGAAGGUUUUCCCAGACAGGCAGAUGGAGGACGCCUCAUUCUUCAACUGGACUGAUCUGAGGCAGCUCAACGCAGGACAGUGGUUCCUAAAGGACGACCCCUUCUGGACAGUGGACACGUUGACCGUCAACGAGACAGCACGGGUGGCCAACCAAAGCGUGUGCAGCCUGGAGCAGCUGCUGAAGUUGUCCUCAUACCACAACACCACCGUGGUCUUCAGGCUCAGGAGGCCCCCUACAGACCAUCCCUGUUACUACAGCUGGAUCAACGACACCCUGGGGGCCGUUCAGCGAUCGGGGAUUCCUCAGAGUCUGGUGAUGUGGACUCCAGAUGAACACAGAGACCAGGUGAAGCAGCUGGCUCCUGAUCUGAUCCAGACCUCGGUGGAGAAAAGGAGUCCUCAGCAUCUGCAGCAGUUGGGCAUCAGCAGUCUGCUGUUACGAUACAACCCAGUCAUCACACAGGAAAUCAGUGAAUUUGUCGAGAGCCACAUCAACCUGACCCUCUACACUGUCAAUGAGCCCUGGCUCUACUCCGUCCUGUGGUGCAGCGGAGUGUCCUCGGUGUCCUCAGAAGCCCCGCACAUCCUCAAGAAGGUGCCUUACCCCAUCUGGCUCAUGGGCCCACAUAAGUACACCCUGCUGUGGGUUUCUGCUGACGUCAUCUCUUUCGCUGUAGUCAUAGGAAUCUUUGUUUUCCAGAACUAUCACAUGAUCAGGUAUCGUAUGAGCGGAAUGCACCGCUAUCACCCGGAGCAGAUUAUGCUGAGUGCUGCGGUCCGACGGCCCAGUCGAGACAUGAGCGUCAUGAAGGAGAAACUCAUCUUUUCAGGUCAGCCACAGUGACCUCCUGCAUCGUUCACGUGUGAUGUGCAUCCAACCUCUUCUGUAUUGACUUCUUCCUCUGAUUCCGUUCAUCCGUCACUCCCCUCGCAUCCUGGCGUCCCUCUGUUCUUUUCCUCCCCCUCCCCCAUCCAUCCAUCCAUCCAUCCAUCCAUCCAUCCCUCGCAUCCCUGACUUUCCCCUCCCCUGAAGACGGCGUUGUGUUUGUCGGAGUUUAUAGACACCACUGUCUGUCUUGACUCCAUGUUUUUCCGGGGGCGGUGAAAGAAAUGGGGAACGGACUGGACAGCGCUGAAGAGCUGUACACAGAUAACAGCUACGACUACUACAACACUCAGGGCGUAGGUCAGUGAGCGGCACCGAGCCAGCGUGAGAACGACCGAUCUUGCCUUCACAUCAUUCCUAUGCUGAUGAACUCAAACUGAUGCGUCUGAUGCAGAGAACUACCACUAGGUGGCUUGUGUACAUUCUGUAAAUAUCUUUUUUUUGUGUGUUUGUUGUUUUUGGGGAAGUAUUUUUAGCAGAUUGUUUUUUUUUUAUUGUUUGUUUCACAGAGUUUUAAUAGGAGGUUUAUUUAAAGAUGUGACUAACGUUUAACUACUACUUAACUAGCACUCCUGCCGUCUGUCAGCACUCCGCUGCUGUCGAUCAAUUUUUUUAAAAGAGGAGGCGACAAAAUGAGCGGUUUACAGAAAUCCUGCCGUUUUUCCGCGUGAUGUGUCAGAUUACCGCAAAGCCAUGAACUCUGGGAACAACGUCAAAUAUUUCCUAAAACAUUUCAAAAGAUGUGAAACAGUGUAAAUAGGUUGUUGACACACACACAGUGUCAAUAGGUUAGUGAGUAAUUGAUUAGUAAACUAACAAAUUUAAACUGAAAUGUGAUUGACACCCCUGUCACCUACAGUACCUCUAUCGUCCACCAGGGGGCGGCAGCCCUCCUUUUUUGGAUUCACUGCCAUAGUGCAUGUCACAGCUGUGAACCUGUGCUACUGCAGUUCAACACGCUGCACUGGUGGAACUGGUUUGGUCGGAGGAUGAAUACGGUCACGUGACGGUUUAGUUUUUAACAACAGUGUGGUUUGACUUUGAGUUUCUGUGUGUGCGCUGCUGUGUUUAACUGUACACUAGAGGUGAGAGGCCUGGGCUAAAGAGUCCAGUCUGUGGGUCAUGGUCCAGUCUGUGGGACAGAGACCAAUCUGUGGCUCAUGGUCCAGUCUGUGGGUCAUGGUCCAGUCUGUGGGUGUGAAUACUGUAAAUUGUACAAAGUCGGUCGUGAAUGUGAAAAUCGAGCUGUAAGAUGAAUCCGGGGACAACGCUGCAAUAUUUUCAAACUUCCACUCUGCAGUGACUCGUUGCAUCUUGUGUUGGAAAAGAAUUAUCUUCCAGUACAAGUUCAAUCAGUCUGCUGUAGAUUUUUUAAGUUGAACUUUUUUUUUUUUUUUUUUUAUGUUUGAAGCGUAUUUAUUGGUUAACCAUUUCUCUCUCUCUGUCAGAAGUGUUUUGUUGAUUUCUCUCGUACACCGUGGUCAGAGACGUGAGCCACAGAACAGACAAACCGUUUGUUUGCAGGAAGCUCAUUUAUUAAGAAAUGCUUUUUUUUUCUUUUUUUUUAAUUGUACAUCACAACUUCACUCUGCAUUUUUAAGCAUGGGAUGAUAAAACAUGAAUGAAUAAAACCUGCAGUUAAUAAAAUAAA